GUUUUAUACAGACCAGGGUCUGUACCGACCCCGAGCUGGACUGAGGAGGUUUUAUACAGACCAGGGUCUGUAUCGACCCCGAGCUGGACUGAGGAGGUUUUAUACAGACCAGGGUCUGUACCGACCCCGAGCUGGACUGAGGAGGUUUUAUACAGACCAGGGUCUGUACUGAGCUGGACUGAGGAGGUUUUAUACAGACCAGGGUCUGUGAUCAACCAAGAUGGACUGAGGAGGUUUUAUACAGACCAGGAUCUGUACCGACCCAGAACUGAACUGAGGAGGUUUUAUACAGACCAGGGUCUGUACCGACCCAGAGCUGGACUGAGGAGGUUUUAUACAGACCAGGGUCUGUACCGACCCAGAGCUGGACUGAGGAGGUUUUAUACAGACCAGGGUCUGUGAUCAACCAAGAUGGACUGAGGAGGUUUUAUACAGACCAGGAUCUGUACCGACCCAGAACUGAACUGAGGAGGUUUUAUACAGACCAGGGUCUGUACCGACCCAGAGCUGGACUGAGGAGGUUUUAUACAGACCAGGGUCUGUACCGACCCAGAGCUGGACUGAGGAGGUUUUAUACAGACCAGGGUCUGUGAUCAACCAAGAUGGACUGAGGAGGUUUUAUACAGAUCAGGGUCUGGACUGAGGAGGUUUUAUACAGACCAGGGUCUGUACCGACCCAGAACUGGACUGAGGAGGUUUUAUACAGACCAGGGUCUGUACCGACCCAGAACUGGACUGAGGAGGUUUUAUACAGACCAGGGUCUGUACCGACCCCGAGCUGCACUGAGGAGGUUUUAUACAGACCAGGGUCUGUACCGACCCAGAGCUGGACUGAGGAGGUUUUAUACAGACCAGGGUCUGUACCGACCCAGAGCUGGACUGAGGAGGUUUUAUACAGACCAGGGUCUGUGAUCAACCAAGAUGGACUGAGGAGGUUUUAUACAGACCAGGAUCUGUACCGACCCAGACCUGAACUGAGGAGGUUUUAUACAGACCAGGGUCUGUACCGACCCAGAGCUGGACUGAGGAGGUUUUAUACAGACCAGGGUCUGUACCGACCCAGAGCUGGACUGAGGAGGUUUUAUACAGACCAGGGUCUGUGAUCAACCAAGAUGGACUGAGGAGGUUUUAUACAGACCAGGGUCUGUACCGAGCUGGACUGAGGAGGUUUUAUACAGACCAGGAUCUGUACCGACCCAGAACUGGACUGAGGAGGUUUUAUACAGACCAGGGUCUGUAUCGACCCAGAGCUGGACUGAGGAGGUUUUAUACAGACCAGGGUCUGUACCGACCCAGAACUGGACUGAGGAGGUUUUAUACAGACCAGGGUCUGUACCGACCCAGAGCUGGACUGAGGAGGUUUUAUACAGACCAGGCUCUGUGAUCAACCAAGAUGGACUGAGGAGGUUUUAUACAGACCAGGAUCUGUACCGACCCAGAACUGGACUGAGGAGGUUUUAUACAGACCAGGGUCUGUAUCGACCCAGAGCUGGACUGAGGAGGUUUUAUACAGACCAGGGUCUGUACCGACCCCGAGCUGGACUGAGGAGGUUUUAUACAGACAGGGUCUGUGAUCAACCAAGAUGGACUGAGGAGGUUUUAUACAGACCAGGAUCUGUACCGAGCUGGACUGAGGAGGUUUUAUACAGACCAGGGUCUGUAUCGACCCAGAGCUGGACUGAGGGGUUUUAUACAGACCAGGGUCUGUACCGACCCAGAGCUGGACUGAGGAGGUUUUAUACAGACCAGGGUCUGUAUCGACCCCGAGCUGGACUGAGGAGGAUUUAUACAGACCAGGGUCUGUACCGAGCUGGACUGAGGGGUUUUAUACAGACCAGGGUCUGUACCGAGCUGGACUGAGGAGGUUUUAUACAGACCAGGGUCUGUACCGACCCAGAGCUGGACUGAGGAGGUUUUAUACAGACCAGGGUCUGUACCGAG
rnacentral:lncRNA from 1 species